rnacentral:rRNA from 1 species
AUUGAACGCUGGCGGCAGGCUUAACACAUGCAAGUCGAGCGAGCGGCGGACGGGUGAGUAAUGUAUGGGAAACUGCCUGAUGGAGGGGGAUCACUACUGGAAACGGUAGCUAAUACCGCAUACCAUCAGAUGGGCCCAGCUGGGAUGAGCUAGUAGGUGGGGUAAUGGCUCACCUAGGCGACGAUCCCUAGCUGGUCUGCGAGGAUGACCAGCCACACUGGAACGGAGACACGGUCCAGACUCCGACGGGAGGCAGCAGUGGGGAAUAUUGCACAAUGGGCGCAAGCCUGAUGCAGCCAGGCCGCGUGUGUGAAGAAGGCCUUCGGGUUGUAAAGCACUUUCAGCGAGGAGGCGUUACUCGCAGAAGAAGCACCGGCUAACUCCGUGCCAGCCGCCGCGGUAAUUC